rnacentral:lncRNA from 1 species
AGACAAUGAAAAUGAGACCGUAUGUAUUAAAGGAAACCAACCCAAUCAUUUUUCUAGUGUUACAUUAGCACCAACUUUAUUAUUGUGAGAUCCUCAUAAUCCUAACAAACAUCUCAAUCUCAUCAAAACAAUACGAAAAACCCUAUCAUAAUCAUUGGUGAUGCAAGAAUAAAAUUGAAAAUAAGAGGAAACACAGAUGAAUAGAGUGACAAAAUAAACAAGUUAGAGAUGUGUAACCUUCAAAAGAUCAACCUAUAUCAGAAAUCACUUGAUCUGUACAUUUGAUAGAUAAGAAAGAAAAUUACUCAUAAAAGAUAGAAAAAAAAGGAAAAUAUGACAAUUUUUCAGCAGUACGUAUUUUUUUAACCUUUGUAUUUUGUUUAUACAAUCAAAAAGUGAUUAUGAACCAGAAAUUUCUAUUAAAUAUUGUAAGCUAAAUAUUUAUAUUAAGUACAUCCUCAAUUAUAUAAAUCAAUCAAACAUGUAAUGAGUAACAAACCUUGACAUUAAUUAGUUUAGAAAGAUAUGUAUUGAACAUCAAAAUUAAUUAAAUAUAUACUUAUAUCCUAAAGAACAUAAAAUGUCAUCUUCUAUAUUCUGAUAAUUAAACGAUUAACAUAAGUUAUAUAGAUUAAAAAAUAUGCUAAAAUACUAAUUAUAAGUAGAAAAUGAAAAAGAAAAAAAGAAAAAAGAAUAAUUACAAGAAAAUGAAAAAGAAAAAAAGAAAAUAGAAUAAUUACAAGACAAUGAAAAUGAGACCGUAUGUAUUAAAGGAAACCAACCCAAUCAUUUUUCUAGUGUUACAUUAGCACCAACUUUAUUAUUGUGAGAUCCUCAUAAUCCUAACAAACAUCUCAAUCUCAUCAAAACAAUACGAAAAACCCUAUCAUAAUCAUUGGUGAUGCAAGAAUAAAAUUGAAAAUAAGAGGAAACACAGAUGAAUAGAGUGACAAAAUAAACAAGUUAGAGAUGUGUAACCUUCAAAAGAUCAACCUAUAUCAGAAAUCACUUGAUUCGUACAUUUGAUAGAUAAGAAAGAAAAUUACUCAUAAAAGAUAGAAAAAAAAGGAAAAUAUGACAAUUUUUCAGCAGUACGUAUUUUUUUAACCUUUGUAUUUUGUUUAUACAAUCAAAAAGUGAUUAUGAACCAGAAAUUUCUAUUAAAUAUUGUAAGCUAAAUAUUUAUAUUAAGUACAUCCUCAAUUAUAUAAAUCAAUCAAACAUGUAAUGAGUAACAAACCUUGACAUUAAUUAGUUUAGAAAGAUAUGUAUUGAACAUCAAAAUUAAUUAAAUAUAUACUUAUAUCCUAAAGAACAUAAAAUGUCAUCUUCUAUAUUCUUAUAAUUAAACAAUUAACAUAAGUUAUACAUAUUAAAAAUAUGCUAAAAUACUAAAUAUAAGUAGAAAAUGAACGAGAGAAAAAGAAAAUAGAAUAAUUACAAGAAAAUGAAAAACAAAAAAGAAAAUAUAAUAAUUACAAGAAAAUGAAAAUGAGACCGUAUGGUAUAAAGGAAACCAACUCAAUCAUUUUUCCAGUGUUACAUUAGCAUCACCUUUAUUAUUGUGAGAUCCUCAUAAUCCUUACAAACAUCUCAAUAUCAUAAAAACGAUAUGAAAAACCCUAUCAUAAUCAUUGGUGAUGGAAGAAUAAAAUUGAAAAUAAGAGGAAACACAGAUGAAUAGAGAGACAAAAUAAACAACUUAGAGAUGUGUAACCUUCAAAAGAUUAACCUAUAUCAGAAAUCAAUUGAUCCGUACAUUUGAUAGAUAAGAAAGAAAAUUACUCAUAAAAGAUAGAAAAAAAAGGAAAAUAUGACAAUUUUUCAGCAGUACGUCUUUUUUUAACCUUUGUAUUUUGUUUAUACAAUCAAAAAGUGAUUAUGAACCAGAAAUUUCUAUUAAAUAUUGUAAGCUAAAUAUUUAUAUUAAGUAAAUCCUCAAUUAUAUAAAUCAAUCACACAUGUAAUGAGUAACAAACCUUGACAUUAAUUAGUUUAGAAAGAUAUGUAUUGAACAUCAAAAUUAAUUAAAUAUAUACUUAUAUCCUAAAGAACAUAAAAUGUCAUCUUUUAUAUUCUGAUAAUUAAAUAAUUAACAUAAGUUAUAUAGAUUAAAAAAUAUGCUAAAAUAUUAAUGAUAAGUAGAAAAUGAAAAAGAAUAAUUACAAGAAAAUGAAAAAGAAAAAAAGAAAAUAGAAUAAUUACAAGAAAAUGAAAAUGAGACAGUACGUAUUAAAGGAAACCAACUCAAUCAUUUUUCCAGUGUUACAUUAGCACCACCUUUAUUAUUGUGAGAUCCUCAUAAUCCUAACAAACAUCUCAAUCUCUUCAAAACAAUACAAAAAACCCUAUCAUAAUCAUUGGUGACGUAGGAAAAAAUUGAAAAUAAGAGGAAACACAGAUGAAUAGAGCGACAAAAUAAACAUGUUAGAGAUGUGUAAGCUUCAAAAUAUCA